UACGGAGGGGGCUAGCGUUGUUCGGAAUUACUGGGCGUAAAGCGCGCGUAGGCGGACCUGCAAGUCGGGGGUGAAAGCCCGAGGCUCAACCUCGGAACUGCCUUCGAUACUGCGGGUCUCGAGUCCGGGAGAGGUGAGUGGAAUUCCUAGUGUAGAGGUGAAAUUCGUAGAUAUUGGGAAGAACACCAGUGGCGAAGGCGGCUACCUGGUCUGGUAUUGACGCUCAGGUGCGAAAGCGUGGGGAGCAAACAGG
rnacentral:rRNA from 1 species